GGGAGCGACUUGGCUUCGACAGGAGUAAGUCUGCUUAGAUGGCAUGUCGCUUUGGGCAAAGCGUAAAAAGCCCAAAUAAAAUUAAACGCAAAUAACGUUAAAUUCGCUCCUGCUUACGCUAAAGCUGCGUAAGUUCAGUUGAGCCUGAAAUUUAAGUCAUACUAUCUAGCUUAAUUUUCGGUCAUUUUUGAUAGUGUAGCCUUGCGUUUGACAAGCGUUGAGGUGAAAUAAAGUCUUAGCCUUGCUUUUGAGUUUUGGAAGAUGAGCGAAGUAGGGUGAAGUAGUCAUCUUUGCUAAACAUGUAGAAGUCUUUGUGGGGUUAUUUUUGGACAGGGGUUCGAUUCCCCUCGCUUCCACCA
rnacentral:tmRNA from 1 species